rnacentral:rRNA from 1 species
ACUUUAUAAUAAAGUCUUAUGGAAUGUAUGCCGCGUCUAACGCAAUACAAUACAACUUUCAGCAACGGAUCUCUUGGCUCUCGCAUCGAUGAAGAACGCAGCGAAAUGCGAUAAGUAAUGUGAAUUGCAGAAUUCAGUGAAUCAUCGAAUCUUUGAACGCACCUUGCGCCCCUUGGCUAUUCCGAGGGGCAUGCCUGUUUGAGUAUCAUGAACACCUCAACUCUCAUGGUUCACCAUGAUGAGCUUGGACUCUGGGGGUUUUGCUGGCCUGCGGUCGGCUCCCCUCAAAUGAAUCAGCCUCCCAGUGUUUGGUGGCAUCACGGGUGUGAUAAAUAUCUACGCUCGCGGUCGUCUGCCAGGUAACCUUUGGUGACAAAGGUUUGCUGGAGCUCACAGAUGUCUCUCCUCGGCGAGGACAGCUUUUUUGAACGUUCGAUCUCAAAU